rnacentral:sRNA from 1 species
AUAUCUCUCUGUACGGGAAGGAUGAGAAGCUUCGACUAAGGUUCGAUUCGAGCGCAGCGAGAAAGCGUUGCCAACGGCAACGACCCGAAGGGCGAAGCGCGCAGCGCUGAGUCAUCCUUUCCCCACCACCA